AAAUAAACGGUCAUUUGCAUCGUGUAUAGAGUA
rnacentral:guide_RNA from 1 species